rnacentral:rRNA from 1 species
UACGUAGGUGGCAAGCGUUGUCCGGAAUUAUUGGGCGUAAAGCGCGCGCAGGCGGUCCUUUAAGUCUGAUGUGAAAGCCCACGGCUCAACCGUGGAGGGUCAUUGGAAACUGGGGGACUUGAGUACAGAAGAGGCGAGUGGAAUUCCUGGUGUAGCGGUGAAAUGCGCAGAUAUCAGGAGGAACACCAAUGGCGAAGGCGGCGUCCUGGACCAACACUGACACUGAUGAGCGAAAGCCAGGGGAGCAAACGGG